rnacentral:rRNA from 1 species
UACAGAGGGUGCGAGCGUUAAUCGGAAUUACUGGGCGUAAAGCGCACGUAGGCGGCUUUGUAAGUUAGAGGUGAAAGCCCGGGGCUCAACUCCGGAAUUGCCUUUAAGACUGCAUCGCUCGAAUUGUGGAGAGGUAAGUGGAAUUCCGAGUGUAGAGGUGAAAUUCGUAGAUAUUCGGAAGAACACCAGUGGCGAAGGCGACUUACUGGACACAUAUUGACGCUGAGGUGCGAAAGCGUGGGGAGCAAACAGG